CGUUUAGUGGCGGACGGGUGAGUAACGCGUGGGUAACCUGCCCUGUACAGGGGGAUAACAGCUGGAAACGGCUGUUAAUACCGCAUAAGCGCACAGGAGCGCAUGCUCCGGUGUGAAAAACUCUGGUGGUACAGGAUGGACCCGCGUCUGAUUAGCUGGUUGGCGGGGUAACGGCCCACCAAGGCAACGAUCAGUAGCCGGCCUGAGAGGGUGAACGGCCACAUUGGGACUGAGACACGGCCCAAACUCCUACGGAAGGCAGCAG
rnacentral:rRNA from 1 species